rnacentral:rRNA from 1 species
GUGAGGAAUUUUGCGCAAUGGGGGCAACCCUGACGCAGCGACGCCGCGUGGAGGACGAAGUCUUUCGGGAUGUAAACUCCUGUCAGUGGGGACGAUAAUGACGGUACCCACAGAGGAAGCACCGGCUAACUCCGUGCCAGCAGCCGCGGUAAGACGGAGGGUGCAAGCGUUGUUCGGAAUUACUGGGCGUAAAGCGUAUGUAGGCGGCAAGUUAAGUUCAAUGUUAAAGCCCACGGCUCAACCGAGGAGAUGCAUUGAAUACUGGCUAGCUAGAGGGUGUUAGAGGAAGACGGAAUUCCCAGUGUAGCGGUGAAAUGCGUAGAUAUUGGGAGGAACAUCGGUAGCGAAAGCGGUCUUCUGGGACAUACCUGACGCUGAGGUACGAAAGCGUGGGGAGCAAACGGGAUUAGAAACCCUAGUAGUCC